UAGCCUAGUGGUCAAGGCUUUGGAUCGCCAAUCCGGAGACGGCGGGUUCGAUUCCCGU
rfam:Aedes albopictus isolate Foshan contig60817, whole genome shotgun sequence.